AGAGAGCAGAGGAGGAGCAGAGGAAGAGGAGGAGCAGAGAGCAGCGGGCAGUGAGCUCAGUCUCUCAGAGGAAGAUGGCGGAGACGGAAGCAGCGUCGGUGAAGAAGAAGAAGAAGGUGAAGAAAGUCAGUGAAGAAGAAGUCGGGGAGAUCCAGCAGAGCGGAGACUUCUUCAUCCAGCCGGAGUCUAAAGUCGCUUCUCUGGACACGUCCCAGUGGCCUCUGUUACUGAAGAAUUUUGAUAAACUGAACAUCCGGACGGCUCAUUACACUCCUCUACCUCACGGCAGCAACCCGCUGAGGAGGAGCAUCCAGGACUAUGUCAGGUCGGGUUUCAUCAACCUGGACAAGCCGGCGAACCCGUCAUCUCACGAGGUGGUGGCGUGGAUCCGGAGGAUCCUGCGCGUGGAGAAGACGGGUCACAGCGGGACGCUCGACCCGAAGGUCACCGGCUGUCUGAUCGUGUGCGUGGAUCGAGCCACGCGGAUGGUCAAGUCCCAGCAGAGCGCCGGUAAAGAGUAUGUGGGGAUCGUUAGGCUGCACAACGCCAUCGAGAGCGAGCACACGCUGGCCCGGGCGUUGGAGACGCUGACCGGCGCUCUGUUCCAGCGGCCGCCGCUCAUCGCCGCCGUCAAACGACAACUGAGGGUCCGAACGGUCUACGAGAGCAAACUGAUAGAAUACGACCCUGAGAGGAGGCUAGGGAUCUUCUGGGUGAGCUGCGAGGCGGGAACCUACAUCCGGACUCUGUGCGUCCACCUGGGCCUGAUGCUCGGGGUCGGAGGUCAGAUGCAGGAGCUGAGGAGAGUCCGGUCCGGCGUGCUGGGAGAGAAGGACCACAUGGUGACGAUGCACGACGUGAUGGACGCUCAGUGGCAGUUUGACCACAACAAAGACGAGACGUACCUGAGGAGGGUCGUCUUCCCGCUGGAGAAGCUGCUGGUGUCCCACAGACGGCUGGUGAUGAAGGACAGCGCUGUGAACGCCAUCUGUUACGGGGCGAAGAUCAUGCUGCCGGGUGUCCUCCGCUACGAAGACGGCAUCGAGAUGAACCAGGACAUCGUCGUCAUAACGACGAAGGGCGAGGCCAUCUGCACAGGUGUCGCUCUGAUGACGACCGCCGUCAUCUCCACGUGUGAUCACGGCGUGGUGGCGAAGAUCAAGAGGGUGAUCAUGGAGAGAGACACGUAUCCUCGGAAGUGGGGUCUGGGACCGAAGGCCAGUCAGAAGAAGAUGAUGAUUCAGAAAGGACUCCUGGACAAACACGGCAAGCCCAACGGCAGCACGCCGAGCGACUGGAGGAGCGGGUAUGUGGACUACAGCGUCUCCAAGGCGACCGAGGAGUCAUGUGACACUCCAGCGAAGAGGAAGCGGGAGGCGACGGAGAGCGACGGCGAAGCGACGACGAUGCCCAACACUCCGACGGCGGAGGACGGGAAGAAAGAGAAGAAGAAGAAGAAGAAAGAGAAGAGGGUGAAACUGGAGGAGGCGGGGCUCGAUGAGACGGGGGCGGAGCCUGAUGAGCUGGGGGCGGAGCCUGAGACGGAGGUUGUCGAUAGCGCCAAAAAGAAGAAGAAGAAGAAGAAGGUGAAAGACGGCGAGGCGUCGGAGUGACGGUAGCGGAUCAACAGGAAGCUGAGACUCCGCCCACUGUCACACCCCCGUGACCACAAAGCAUUCUGGGAGUUUUAUAACGGACUGCAUGGACGCAGGAAGAGAAGAGGAGGAGGAGAGAAGGAGGAGGACACUUUUUGUUUUUUAUAUACAUUUUAUUGUAUUUUUUCUUUCAGCUGUAAAUAACUGAACAGGAAGCCUGUUUGUAAUUUCAAAAUAAAAGUCUUUGUUUUCUGUA